UACGUAGGCAGCAAGCGUUGUUCGGAAUUACUGGGCGUAAAGAGUGUGUAGGCGGUGUUCUAAGUCUGUUGUGAAAUCUCCCGGCUUAACUGGGAGGGUGCGGCGGAAACUGGAAUGCUAGAGGAUGGGAGAGGUAAGCGGAAUUCCUGGUGUAGCGGUGAAAUGCGUAGAUAUCAGGAGGAACAGCCUGUGGUGUAGACAGCUUACUGGACCAUUUCUGACGCUGAGACACGAAAGCGUGGGUAGCAAACAGG
rnacentral:rRNA from 1 species